UUGGUGAGGUAACGGCUCACCAAGGCGACGAUGCGUAGCCGACCUGAGAGGGUGAUCGGCCACACUGGGACUGAGACACGGCCCAGACUCCUACGGGAGGCAGCAGUAGGGAAUCUUCCGCAAUGGACGAAAGUCUGACGGAGCAACGCCGCGUGAGUGAUGAAGGUUUUCGGAUCGUAAAGCUCUGUUGUUAGGGAAGAACAAGUGCCGUUCAAAUAGGGCGGCACCUUGACGGUACCUAACCAGAAAGCCACGGCUAACUACGUGCCAGCAGCCGCGGUAAUACGUAGGUGGCAAGCGUUGUCCGGAAUUAUUGGGCGUAAAGGGCUCGCAGGCGGUUUCUUAAGUCUGAUGUGAAAGCCCCCGGCUCAACCGGGGAGGGUCAUUGGAAACUGGGGAACUUGAGUGCAGAAGAGGAGAGUGGAAUUCCACGUGUAGCGGUGAAAUGCGUAGAGAUGUGGAGGAACACCAGUGGCGAAGGCGACUCUCUGGUCUGUAACUGACGCUGAGGAGCGAAAGCGUGGGGAGCGAACAGGAUUAGAUACCCUGGUAGUCCACGCCGUAAACGAUGAGUGCUAAGUGUUAGGGGGUUUCCGCCCCUUAGUGCUGCAGCUAACGCAUUAAGCACUCCGCCUGGGGAGUACGGUCGCAAGACUGAAACUCAAAGGAAUUGACGGGGGCCC
rnacentral:rRNA from 1 species